AUUGAACGCUGGCGGCAGGCCUAACACAUGCAAGUCGAACGAGUGGCGGACGGGUGAGUAAUGUCUGGGAACCUGCCUGAUGGAGGGGGAUAACUACUGGAAACGGUAGCUAAUACCGCAUACCAUCUGAUGUUCCCUGAUGGGAUGAGCUAGUAGGUGGGGUAAAGGCUCACCUAGGCUACGAUCCCUAGAUGGUCUGAGAGGAUGACCAGCAACACUGGAACUGAGACACGGUCCAGACGCCUACGGGAGGCAGCAGUGGAGAAUAUUGCACAAUGGGCGCAAGCCUGAUGCAGCCAUGCAGAGUGUAUGAAGAAGGCCUUCGGGUUGUAAAGUACUGUCAGCGGGGAGGCGUUACCCGCAGAAGAAGCACAGGCUAACUCCGUGCCAGCAGCCGAGGUAAUAC
rnacentral:rRNA from 1 species